ACAGCUUGGUGAAAGCAAGUUAUGCAUCCGAUACUCAAGAUUCGUCAUCUCCAGGGUCCGACGUCCAAUAUUCACCUACACAAAAACAGAGGAGAAACUCAGAAAAUGAAGACGGUCCUUAUAUUUCAACGUCAUCUACGAGUAGUGAUCAAACUCAAGGUUUUCCUUCACUACCACUGCAGCGCUCAAAUAAUGUAAACAUUGUCUUCGCCAAUCGAAUAUCAGAACUGAAACAAAACUUACAGCGCCAUCUUGAGACAACAACCAAUCUCCUCGUCACACUUCAAAGUAUUGAUAUGGAGGAACUAGAGGACAAUCAGAGAUUCAUCAAAUGUGCUUCUAAAUUCUUGCCUUCCUUCAAUUACAGUAGACAGAUGAAUGGAGAUGACGAUAAUGACAACCAAACCAAGACUUCAACGUCACUAGUGUCUGUUUUACAUGAAAACAACACAUUUUGCUCAUCCAGUCAAUCCUGUGGACAUAAUGCACAACAAGAAAACAUCCCAGAAAAUAUCACAUCCACUUCACAAAGAACACCGCAAUUAAGCAACCCCCGACGGGAUCAAACAACGAUGACAUCUAAUACUUCUGCGACGACGACGACGACAACGGAUCCAGUUCCAUUUUUCCCACCCCGUCCGAAUUAUCCUGCUCGUCCGAACUUUCCACCACGUCCGAACUUUCCGCCACGUCCGAAUUUUCCUCCUCAACCAAAUUUUCCAUCCUCGGGACGGACCUCCUCUCUAACAAACGUCGACAAAGAUAAUUUAGAAAAAAUAGGAGAUACUCCAGUUCGUG